CUACGGGUUGCAGCAGUGAGGAAUUUUGCGCAAUGGGGGAAACCCUGACGCAGCAACGCCGCGUGAGCGAAGAAGGCCCUCGGGUCGUAAAGCUCUGUCAAGUGGGAAAAAAGCCUUUUGAUCAAUACCCAAAAGGUUUGAUGGUACCACUGGAGGAAGCACCGGCUAACUCCGUGCCAGCAGCCGCGGUAAUACGGAGGGUGCAAGCGUUGUUCGGAAUUACUGGGCGUAAAGGGCGUGCAGGCGGUUUGGCAAGUCAAAUGUGAAAGCCCUGGGCUUAACCCGGGAAGUGCAUUUGAAACUGCCUUUCUUGAGUAUGGGAGAGGAGAGUGGAAUUCCCAGUGUAGAGGUGAAAUUCGUAGAUAUUGGGAGGAACACCCGUGGCGAAGGCGACUCUCUGGACCAAUACUGACGCUGAGACGCGAAAGCGUGGGGAGCAAACAGGAUUAGAUACCCCUGUAGUC
rnacentral:rRNA from 1 species